rnacentral:rRNA from 1 species
UCCUACGGGAGGCAGCAGUGGGGAAUUUUCCGCAAUGGGUGAAAGCCUGACGGAGCAACGCCGCGUGAGGGAUGAAGGCCUCUGGGCUGUAAACCUCUUUUAUCAAGGAAGAAGAUCUGACGGUACUUGAUGAAUAAGCCACGGCUAAUUCCGUGCCAGCAGCCGCGGUAAUACGGGAGUGGCAAGCGUUAUCCGGAAUUAUUGGGCGUAAAGCGUCCGCAGGCGGCCCUUCAAGUCUGCUGUUAAAAAGUGGAGCUUAACUCCAUCAUGGCAGUGGAAACUGUUGGGCUUGAGUGUGGUAGGGGCAGAGGGAAUUCCCGGUGUAGCGGUGAAAUGCGUAGAUAUCGGGAAGAACACCAGUGGCGAAGGCGCUCUGCUGGGCCAUCACUGACGCUCAUGGACGAAAGCCAGGGGAGCGAAAGGGAUUAGAUACCCCUGUAGUCCUGGCCGUAAACGAUGAACACUAGGUGUCGGGGGAAUCGACCCCCUCGGUGUCGUAGCCAACGCGUUAAGUGUUCCGCCUGGGGAGUACGCACGCAAGUGUGAAACUCAAGGAAUUGACGGGGA